GGGAAGAAGCCCCUGACAGGUGGGCCCCACCUGUCAGCAGGUGCGGCGCGGCGCGAGCGAGCGGCUGGGCCGGCAGGACUGCGGCGCGCGCGAGGGAGUUGGGCCGGUUCGGCCCAAUUCGGCCGGGCCGGUCCGUUCCUCCCCCUUUUUUUUUCCCUUUUCUUUUCCUGUUUUUCUUAUUCCUUUGAUAUCUUUUGAUUUUGAACUCCAAAUUGGUCCAAAUAAAUUCCAGAAAAUUUGUAAAAUCAUGUUCUACCAUGAGACAACUUAUGGGAGUAGUUUCUCUUCAAAAUAAAAUAUAUAAAAAUACAUUUGCCCUAUAAAUGGCUUUAGGGCAACAUAUCUAUUUAAAUAAAAUACUUUUUCAACUCCAAAGAAUUACCCAAAAAUUAUGGGAUAGCUCAUAUGUGCAAUAAACCCCUUUUAUAUAUAAACCUUAAUGGUUUGAAGGUCGAAAGCUCAAAUAGGUGUAAACAAAAUCUUUUAAAGCCUUUUGUGAUUCAAAGUUGAAUUCAAACAUGCAAUUGUGGCAUGAUACUUAAUGAUGCAAUGCUCAUGUAAAAGUUUGAAAUUUUGGGAUGUUACACUAUUGGACACAGGGUAGAAACACCCAUGCUCCUAUUAACCUAAGCA
rnacentral:lncRNA from 1 species